GAUGAACGCUGGCGGCGUGCCUAAUACAUGCAAGUCGAGCGAACGGACGAGAAGCUUGCUUUUCUGAUGUUAGCGGCGGACGGGUGAGUAACACGUGGAUAACCUACCUAUAAGAUUGGGAUAACUUCGGGAAACCGGAGCUAAUACCGGAUAAUAUUUUGAACCGCAUGGUUCAAAAGUGAAAGACGGUCUUGCUGUCACUUAUAGAUGGAUCCGCGCUGCAUUAGCUAGUUGGUAAGGUAACGGCUUACCAAGGCAACGAUGCAUAGCCGACCUGAGAGGGUGAUCGGCCACACUGGAACUGAGACACGGUCCAUACUCCUACGGGAGGCAGCAGUAGGGAAUCUUCCGCAAUGGGCGAAAGCCUGACGGAGCAACGCCGCGUGAGUGAUGAAGGUCUUCGGAUCGUAAAACUCUGUUAUUAGGGAAGAACAUAUGUGUAAGUAACUGUGCACAUCUUGACGGUACCUAAUCAGAAAGCCACGGCUAACUACGUG
rnacentral:rRNA from 1 species